rnacentral:tRNA from 1 species
GCCCCUAUAGCUUAAGUGGAUAAAGCAAGCGCCUUCUAAGCGUUAGAGUGGGGGUUCGAGUCCCUCUAGGGGCA